UCUGUAGGUGGCUUAACAAGUCAACUGUUAAAUCUUGAAGCUCAACUUCGAAAUCGCAGUCGAAACUGUUAGGCUAGAGUAUAGUAGGGGUAAAGGGAAUUUCCAGUGGAGCGGUGAAAUGCGUAGAGAUUGGAAAGAACACCGAUGGCGAAGGCACUUUACUGGGCUAUUACUGACACUCAGAGACGAAAGCUAGGGUAGCAAAUG
rnacentral:rRNA from 1 species